UUCAUUUUACCGCCAUUUACCAAAAAUCCCUCUAAAAACCUAUCUACGAAACUUGGCAGUUUAUCCACAAUCAUAGUGGAGUUUAGAUUGCCAAUUCCUCUCCUCCAUUAGAAUCCCCACUACUCGUCCUCUCCGAUUUUCUCAAUUUCUCAUUUUUCUCUGAUGUUCAAAUUUUAAGGGCGCCGUCGCGACCCCGACUGCGACUCCGACUCAUAGCGCCGCCCCUCCUCCAACACCUAUUGUAGCCGCAACCACAACGGAUGGCCUAGAAAGAAUAGGAAAAUCGUUGCGCCCGAAUUAUUAUGUAUUACUAUCUAUCUAUAUCUGUUUAUUUCAAUGAAGUUAUUAAUGAUAUACAGUUUUAGAGGAACAUAGACUUGGUUUAUGAAGGUGGAAGCAUAGGAUUGAUGGUUUGAUUUUUCUCAAGCUGUGCAUAAUGGUGGCUACCACGUGUUGGGGUGGUGGGGUAGUAUAUGUGUGUAGCACAUUGAGCAGGUUGUCGAAGAGCCUAAAUAAAGUUUUAAUUGUAUGAUUAGUAACGUUAGCAUUCUUCAAUAGUACAUUCUUAUGCUUGCCUUUUUUUUGUUUCAAA